rnacentral:tRNA from 1 species
GAGAGUAUAGCUCAGUGGUAGAGUGUGUGCUUAGCAUGCAGGAGAUCCUGGGUUCAAUCCCCAGUACUUACA